AAAAGGCAUUGCACUUCUCAGCAACAAAUAAGUUCCCCUUUUCUGCCCUUUAAUGGUUGCCAUCAGUCUUGACAGAGUCAGAUUUUUUCCCACAUGAACAUGCAUGCUUUUUUGCUUUCUCUCCAUCUGACAUCCAGGACUGGUAUCUGAGAAACAGCAGAAGAGAAAAGUUAAAAAUAUCAAGGGCUUCCUGAGGCCAGUCACCAGAGAGCAAACAAGAUGGUGAGCAAGGGUAAUUCAAAAAGUCCCGCCCUCUCUCUUUCAUUGGUCAAUUCAAGGAGGAGAAAACACCUGCCCUUUUUACAUCUGUCUGUCACACUAUACUUUUUGCUCUAAUUGGCCAAAGAUGUUGAGAAGAACACUUCAAAUGCAGAGACAGAGGAAACUUUUACUGCAACUCAAAUUUGCCCCGUAUUAAAGCAGUUCUUAUAACCUU